GAUGAACGCUGGCGGCGUGCUUAACACAUGCAAGUCGAGCGAAGCACUCUGUCCGAAUUCUUUCGGGAUGACGGACUUAGUGACUGAGCGGCGGACGGGUGAGUAACGCGUGGGUAACCUGCCUCAUACAGGGGGAUAACAGUUAGAAAUGACUGCUAAUACCGCAUAAGACCACAGUACCGCAUGGUACAGGGGUAAAAACUCCGGUGGUAUGAGAUGGACCCGCGUCUGAUUAGCUGGUUGUGGGGUAACGCUACCAAGGCGACGAUCAGUAGCCGGCCUGAGAGGGCACGGGCACAUUGGGACUGAGACACGGGCCCAAACUCCUACGGGAGGCAGCAGUGGGAAUAUUGCACAAUGGGCAAAGCCUGAUGCAGCGACGCCGCGUGAGCGAUGAAGUAUUUCGGAUGUAAAGCUCUAUC
rnacentral:rRNA from 1 species